rnacentral:rRNA from 1 species
GGCUCAGAUUGAACGCUGGCGGAAUGCUUUACACAUGGCAAGUCGAACGGUAACAGGCCUUCGGGCGCUGACGAGUGGCGAACGGGUGAGUAACGCAUCGGAACGUGCCCAGUCGUGGGGGAUAACGCAGCGAAAGCUGUGCUAAUACCGCAUACGAUCUGCGGAUGAAACGCGGGGGACCUUAGGGCCUCGCGCGAUUGGAGCGGCCGAUGUCAGAUUAGGUAGUUGGUGGGGUAAAGGCCCACCAAGCCAACGAUCUGUAGCUGGGUCUGAGAGGACGACCAGCCACACUGGAACUGAGACACGGUCCAGACUCCUACGGGAGGCAGCAGUGGGGAAUAUUGCACAAUGGGCGCAAGCCUGAUGCAGCCAUGCCGCGUGUAUGAAGAAGGCCUUCGGGUUGUAAAGUACUUUCAGCGGGGAGGAAGGUGUUGUGGUUAAUAACCACAGCAAUUGACGUUACCCGCAGAAGAAGCACCGGCUAACUCCGUG